rnacentral:rRNA from 1 species
CUGCAGCUCAAGCGGUGACCACUAUUAUUGGGCCUAAAACGUUCGUAGCCGGUUUGGUAAAUGCCUGGGUAAAUCGUGUAGCUUAACUAUACGAAUUCCGGGUAGACUGCCAAACUUGAGACCGGGAGAAGCUAGAGGUACUCCUGGGGUAGAGGUGAAAUUCUGUAAUCCUGGGGGGACCACCAGUGGCGAAGGCGUCUAGCUAGAACGGGUCUGACGGUGAGGAACGAAGCCCUGGGGCGCAAACCGGAUUAGAUACCCGAGUAGUCC